AUUGAACGCUGGCGGCAUGCCUUACACAUGCAAGUCGAACGGCAGCACGGGUGCCUGCACCUGGUGGCGAGUGGCGAACGGGUGAGUAAUAUAUCGGAACGUACCUUAUUGUGGGGGAUAACGCAGCGAAAGCUGUGCUAAUACCGCAUAAUCCCUAAGGGGGAAAGCGGGGGACCGUAAGGCCUCGCGCAAUUAGAGCGGCCGAUACCUGAUUAGCUAGUUGGUGAGGUAAAGGCUCACCAAGGCAACGAUCAGUAGCUGGUCUGAGAGGACGAUCAGCCACACUGGGACUGAGACACGGCCCAGACUCCUACGGGAGGCAGCAGUGGGGGAAUUUUGGACAAUGGGGGCAACCCUGAUCCAGCAAUGCCGCGUGAGUGAAGAAGGCCUUCGGGUUGUAAAGCUCUUUUGUCAGGGAAGAAACAGCAGCUCUAACACAGUAUGCGAAUGACGGUACCUGAAGAAUAAGCACCGGCUAACUACGUGCCAGCAGCCGCAGUAA
rnacentral:rRNA from 1 species